rnacentral:tRNA from 1 species
UCCCUGAUGGUCCAAUGGGAGGACUUGGCAAUCUCACUGCUAGAACCUGGGUUCAAUCUCUGGUUGGGGAA